GACGAACGCUGGCGGCGUGCUUAACACAUGCAAGUCGAACGGAAAGGCCCUGCUCUUGUGGGGUGCUCGAGUGGCGAACGGGUGAGUAACACGUGAGUAUCCUGCCCUUGACUUUGGGAUAUCUUCACGAAACUCGGGCUAAUAUCGGAUAGGAGCUCCUGCUGCAUGGUGGGGGUUGGAAAGUUUCGGCGGUUGGGGCUGGACUCGAGGCUUAUCAGCUUGUUGGUGGGGUAGUGGCUUUCCAAGGCUUUGACGGGUAGCCGGCCUGAGAGGGCGAACGGGCACAUUGGGACUGAGAUACGGCGCAGACGGCUACGGGAGGCAGCAGUGGGGAGUAUUGCACAGUGGGGGGGAGCCUGAUGCAGCAACGCCGCGUGCGGGAUGACGGCCUUCGGGUGGUGAACCACUGUCGACUGUGACGAAGCGUGAGUGACGGUAAUGGGUAAAGAAGCACCGGCUAACUACGUG
rnacentral:rRNA from 1 species